UUUUUCCCUCCAUGGUUUUUGUGACAGUAGAAUGUUAUUUAUACUAUCGGUAAAUAAUUUUCAAUAGACUCAAAAAAGGGGGAAAAAUUUGCAGGUUGUCUAAAUAAGAAACCAGUAUUCUUGUUUUUGUUCUUGUUUAGAACUGAAAAAUAUUACCUUGUAUUUGGCUGAUAAACUAUUUCUGCUGUAUUUCUCAGCUCUUGGCCUGUUGCUAGCAAUUCUUGGUGACUAGCUAGUGCCUCCAGAUUUAGUUCUGCAAUCUUGAAGAAAAUAAAGUGGUAAAAAUCAUCUAAUUUCCUGCAAAGCAUCUGAGGUUUGAAAAUCAAAACACCACAAAGCAAAAAAAAAAAAAUCCAAGAAAAACUCACUCAAGUGGUGUUCUCUACUUCUGUAGACAGUGGCUUUGCCAUUGCCAUAGUCCCAGGUUGGCUUCAAUAGCUACCAGAUGGUUUCUGACCGUUUAGCCAAGAAUGACAAUCUGUUACCAGCUGCUGAUGUUGUUAUAUGAAUAUGGGAAAGGGCUAAGUAUAAAGGGAUGGCAAUUCUGGCUCAUCACUGAUCCCACAGUCAGUCACUUAGAAUUUACUUCUUUGUGAACGUGCCAUUUUUGGAAAUUAUAAAAGAAUGGCUUUUAUAGCAACAACAAAAAAAGACCUUUUAUUGGUUUAAUACAAAACCAGUUUAUUCUUCCAUAAAGUGGAAGACCACUUGGGAGUUGCAAUGCAGACAGUGAGAUACAAACUACUAUCAUUAUUUAUACAUAUAUGUUAUAAGACAUUUUAGAAUGUCUUUCUACCACUGCGACACAAAAUACUAUUCUGGAUGCUUAGGAUUCUACACAGACUACCAUGUAUUUCACAGUGGAGUUAUGAUAGAACAUAUCAUGCAAUGGGACAACCUAGUAAGUUAGAAUGCAUUGUAACAAGGUAUGUAAGAAACUGUCUCCUUCAAGGUUUCCCUCAUGUGCUGUCCUAAUCUACAUCCACUGAACUGCUGCUGAAACAACGGCAUGCUCCCCCACCCCAAAAGAGCAAAAUCUAUGUAGAUCUUUCAUAAUUAUUAUUACAAUUAUCAGCAUACAAUGAGCCACACAUUAUAGUGCUUAAUAUAUUCAAGGCACUGUACUACUAGCUUUAUAUAAGAUACCUCAUUUACCCGCACCAAUAUCCCACAGAAAUGUGUUUCCAUUUUACAGAUGUAGUAACUGAAUUUCCUUGGAGAAAUUGACCCAGAUUAUGUAACUAAUAACUAAGCUAAACAUAGUACUAUCUUUUUUUUCCUUUAAGAUUUUAAAAUAGGGGCGCCUGGGUGGCUCAGUGGGUUAAG